rnacentral:ncRNA from 1 species
GAUAAUUGUCUUGUGGCAGCCAAGCAUUCAUAAUGAUAUGACUUUUUGAUCCUUCAGUGUCAGUUCUUCCUAUUAUUGUGAAGCAAAAUUCACCAAGCAUUGUCCUGUUCACCCAUUAAUAGGGAAAGUGAGACAGGUUAAUUUUGAUAAAACAAGUU